rnacentral:rRNA from 1 species
UACAGAGGGGGCAAGCGUUGUUCGGAAUUACUGGGCGUAAAGGGCGCGUAGGCGGCCUGUUAAGUCGAACGUGAAAUCCCCGGGCUCAACCCGGGAACUGCGUCCGAAACUGGCAGGCUUGAAUCCGGGAGAGGGAUGCGGAAUUCCAGGUGUAGCGGUGAAAUGCGUAGAUAUCUGGAGGAACAUCGGUGGCGAAGGCGGCAUCCUGGACCGGUAUUGACGCUGAGGCGCGAAAGCCAGGGGAGCAAACGGG